AGGAUGUGUGCUUGGGUUUCACUUGGAAAAAACAUACAUCAUAUUGCAAUAUAAUUUACUUUGAGAUUUCAAUUUGGAAAAUGGCAUGGAAAUAAUCCAGCUUGAACAUCGUCCUCCUCACCUCCUGGACUAGGGCGAGGGCCCCUUAUAUUUCUUCAUGGCAAUUGUGUCACAGUUCAAACGCUCGUACCCUGACUCCAUCUGGGAUUUGGAAUGCACUCAGGGAAGUGGCUGUGCAUGGAGACUAGAAAUGGAAGAGGCUUCCAAGGUCAUGCCUUUCAGGCUCCCUUCAAAUUCUACAGCUACUGUGAAGAGAGUUGCAUUCCCACAGAGAACAUGUCAGACUGGAGGAAAAUUGUGACAAAAGGUCUCCCCAAAGGUCUCUGAAACUUCGAUCUUAUCUCAUUCCACAAGGCAAAGGCCAGUUUCCUAAAUCAAAGAAUGAAACAAAGUACAUCUUUUUCAAGCAUUGUUUUGACAUCACUCCCUUUUAUACAACUGGACAGGCACUCCCAUUCUCUUUAAAUAAUUUUUAAACACUCCUGAACUUUGGCUUGGAGAUCCUCAUUUGAAAUGAUUUUAUCACUCUAGACAUACUAGCUCAUAUUUUUUAACUUCAACCUGGCAAAAGUUAAUAUCCCUCAUAAAACUCUACCCACUCUCUUCUCUAAGUAUCACAUAAACCACUCUUCCUGAUUAUACAUGCCCCAUCUUGAGCCAUAUCCAUUACUCUGUCAACUUUCCCUGGAGGUUAAUCUGCUAGUGAGAAUUUAAGUGGACUCCUGGGGUGGAGUAUUCUACAAUGGAUGGAACUUGGAUUCUGAAGUCAGUCAGUUCUGGUUCAAAUCCCAGUUAUUCCAUUUACUAGCUGUGUCAUGUUGGGCAAGCUAUGUAACCUCCCUAAAUCGUUGUUUCCUCACCUAGAAUAUGAAUACAAUAUUAAUAGUACUGGUAUAACAGUUGUUCUGAGAAUUAAAUAAGAUAUUGCAUAUAAAGAACUUAGUUCAGAGUAAACACAUUAUAAAAUUCAACACAUGUUAGUCCCCAUGAUUACAAUUCUUUUGGAGCACAAAAUAAUCAGAGAUAUGUAAAAAAGAUGGUUGUGAAGAGAUGUUUAUGUACCAUUUUUAUAAGAGUAAAAAGUUGGAAACAAUUUAUGCCCAACCAUGGUUGACUAUGCAACCAAUUAUAAGUCAUGUUCUGAAUGUUGGGAAAUAUCAAGAUUGUAUUAGUGAGUAUUAAAAAAAAACAUAAAACCUGCAGAGCAUCAAAUCUGAGAGGGAAAGUAUAUGCAUAGAAAAGAGAUUUGAAGAACCUACAUCAAAAAGUAGAUUAUAAUUAUCUCAACAGAGAAAAGGUAUAUGGAGUAUAGAUGGGUACUGGGAUUAUGAAGAUUUUUAAAAUGUUUUGUAUUUUUCUGUGCAUCCUAAAUUUUGUACCUUUUGUAAUUAGGAAAAUUACAUGCUGUUGAAAAAUAAUGGAUGAAGUUUAGCCUUCUCAGAUGA
ensembl:lncRNA LINC02454 long intergenic non-protein coding RNA 2454